AACGAACGCUGGCGGCAGGCCUAACACAUGCAAGUCGAGCGGGACCUUCGGGUCUAGCGGCGGACGGGUUAGUAACGCGUGGGAACGUGCCCAAAGGUCCGGAAUAGCCUCGGGAAACUGAGAGUAAUACCGUAUGUGCCCCUCGGGGGAAAGAUUUAUCGCCUUUGGAUCGGCCCGCGUUGGAUUAGGUAGUUGGUGGGGUAAUGGCCUACCAAGCCGACGAUCCAUAGCUGGUUUGAGAGGAUGAUCAGCCACACUGGGACUGAGACACGGCCCAGACUCCUACGGGAGGCAGCAGUGGGGAAUCUUAGACAAUGGGCGCAAGCCUGAUCUAGCCAUGCCGCGUGAGUGAUGAAGGCCUUAGGGUUGUAAAGCUCUUUCAGAUGGGAAGAUAAUGACGGUACCAUCAGAAGAAGCCCCGGCUAACUCCGUG
rnacentral:rRNA from 1 species